UAAUUAGGUCAUUAACGUAUUUCUAGCAAUUUGAUUGAUCUGCCCUCCCGCAGUCCAGCUUCAGCGAAGAAAGGUUUCGCAUAUUAUUGAAAUUUUAAGUUGAAAUUUUAUCCAUGGAAGCGAAGCGAAAGCGACGCCGACUGUGAAAUGCUUUUUAAAAGUGCGUUUAGUGAAUUACUUAUUGGUAAUACUCACAGCUGUUGGUAUAAAGGGACUCGGAGCAGUUGCAGUUGCAGUGCCGAGAUCCAAUUGCUACGCUUUCGAUAAUUCCAGUCGCAUUGUUGAUUUUAGUAGCUGGAUCGGACAUUAUUUCGAGUAUGAAGACAAUGGUGUUGAUUUGGUGGUUCGAUUUUGCAAAGAUGUAGAGACUAGAUCACAAGCGGUAGUCUUGAACACCAUAUUCUCAAAAUUUUGCAGGGAUACAUAGCUUUUGGCCGAUUUAAUAAGUUCAACCAUUUUGUUGCUGGUUCAGGCCAUGUUGACUUUGUUCAAGGGUUUUACGGUGGUGACCUUUUGAAUUGUGAGUCAAGUUAUGACAAGAUGGGAUGUACGGCUCAGGUAAAUAUUAUUUGCGGGAGUUGUUUAAAUGGACAAUGUGAAGGUUGGUAGAUCUUCAUUUUGAGUUUCAAAUGUGCAUGGAGUUGAUAUGACAAUUGGCAGGGCUAGAAAUUUUCGUUUACAGGGGUCAUGGUAUGAAAAAUGAAAUAACUGCGGGGGCAUGUGAACCAAAAGGGGUAUAAAAAGUAUUAUUUAAAAGGUUAAAAUGUAUAAUGAAAUCUACUUCUCUGUGUUCUUCUUUUUCCUGAUAUUUUGGGGGCUGGUGGCUCGCACUCUCUGGCCUGUAUAUGACCAGAUGCCACCGUUCUGUGACAGUUUGACAUCUUGUGAAUUUCACAUUGAUAUCACUGAGCUCUAUCUUCCAUUUUUUGGAGCAA